UCCUCCACAAAACACUUACUACCGUGGCCUGGGAUAAAAACCAUUUUCUUAUCUUCUUUCCUCGGUAUUUACCGCUGCGCCCCUAUGCUAUCAAGAAGAAGGAAUUUCGGGACGGGAAGGACCUGGAAUGUCAGGAUGCCUAAAAUAAGAAUAGAAAUAGUGAUAUGCCGAUUUGCUGCUGUUAAAAAGCUAGGCACCUCUGUAUUCUUAUUGCCAAUGUCUCUUAGCUCCCGAACAGCCUAUUCGAUUUCUGUGCUUAAGCUUGCUCUCACAUAUUCUUGGCUUGGAUCUAGAUAAUAGAUGUGGCAAGUCAAAGAGCUGAUUGUCGAAAACACUAGCAGCUCCUUCCCCAACUUUUGCAAAUGAACCCCGUUCAAGCGCUACAAAAAUUAUCACCGUUUACGCCGCAACAUGUCCGAUUGCAAGAGAGAGAAAAGGGAUUAGAAAAGAGCCCGGCUAUGCGAAAUAGACAAAAAGGGAAGUUGGGCCAGUAAUCCCUUAACCGGGUAUGAACUCCUCCCUUCUACGCUCCGUGGGUCCUUUAUUACCUAAUUCCCUUAAAGACAGAAUUGCUCUUAGUCUUUAUCCAAGAGAUGUCCCUGAGACUAAAUAAGGAAAUUGUCUCUUUGCUUAAGCACGAGAUUCGACAGGUGACCAAGGAACCAAGAUUCACGUAGAAAGACUGGCACUAUUACAGGAGCGCUUAUGAAAUCUAUCUUUUCUAUUUCAUAAUGUAAGACUUUAGGCACUCUAGACCUUAUAAGCCUUUAUACGUUAUACGUAAACCCGGAGAAGACUUGCUUUUCCUCGAAAGCAACCAAUAACCAGCUUUAUUAAAAU
rnacentral:lncRNA from 1 species